AAGUACUUUCAGCCGGGGAGGAAGGUGUGUGGUUUAAUAACCGCAGCAAUUGACGGUACCCGCAGAAGAAGCACCGGGCUAACUCCGUGGCCAGCAGCCGCGGUAAUACGGAGGGGUGCAAGCGUAAUCGGAAUUACUGGGCGUAAAGCGCACGCAGGCGGUCUGUCAAGUCGGAUGUGAAAUCCCCGGGCUCAACCUUGGGAACUGCAUUCGAAACUGGCAGGCUAGAGUCUUGUAGAGGGGGGUAGAAUUCCAGGUGUAGCGGUGAAAUGCGUAGAGAUCUGGAGGAAUACCGGUGGCGAAGGCGGCCCCCUGGACAAAGACUGACGCUCAGGUGCGAAAGCGUGGGGAGCAAACAGGAUUAGAUACCCUGGUAGUCCACGCCGUAAACGAUGUCGAUUUGGAGGUUGUGCCCUUGAGGCGUGGCUUCCGGAGCUAACGCGUUAAAUCGACCGCCUGGGGAGUACGGCCGCAAGGUUAAAACUCAAAUGAAUUGACGGGGGCCCGCACAAGCGGUGGAGCAUGUGGUUUAAUUCGAUGCAACGCGAAGAACCUUACCUGGUCUUGACAUCCACAGAACUUUCCAGAGAUGGAUUGGUGCCUUCGGGAACUGUGAGACAGGUGCUGCAUGGCUGUCGUCAGCUCGUGUUGUGAAAUGUUGGGUUAAGUCCCGCAACGAGCGCAACCCUUAUCCUUUGUUGCCAGCGGUUAGGCCGGGAACUCAAAGGAGACUGCCAGUGAUAAACUGGAGGAAGGUGGGGAUGACGUCAAGUCAUCAUGGCCCUUACGACCAGGGCUACACACGUGCUACAAUGGCGCAUACAAAGAGAAGCGACCUCGCGAGAGCAAGCGGACCUCAUAAAGUGCGUCGUAGUCCGGAUUGGAGUCUGCAACUCGACUCCAUGAAGUCGGAAUCGCUAGUAAUCGUAGAUCAGAAUGCUACGGUGAAUACGUUCCCGGGCCUUGUACACACCGCCCGUCACACCAUGGGAGUGGGUUGCAAAAGAAGUAGGUAGCUUAACCUUCGGGAGGGC
rnacentral:rRNA from 1 species